rnacentral:misc_RNA from 1 species
GAUGAAGAACGUAGCGAAAUGCGAUACGUAAUGUGAAUUGCAGAAUUCAGUGAAUCAUCGAGACUUUGAACGCACAUUGCGCCCCCUGGUAUUCCGGGGGGCAUGCCUGUCCGAGCGUCAUUGCUGCCCUCAAGCACGGCUUGUGUGUUGGGCCCCCGUCCCCGGUUCUCCCCGGGGACGGGCCCGAAAGGCAGCGGCGGCACCGCGUCCGAUCCUCGAGCGUAUGGGGCUUUGUCACCCGCUCUGUAGGCCCGGCCGGCGCCAGCCGACACCCCAACUUUAUUUUCUAAGGUUGACCUCGGAUCAGGUAGGGAUACCCGCUGAACUUAAGCAUAUCAAUAAGCGGAGGA